rnacentral:rRNA from 1 species
AUUGAACGCUGGCGGCAGGCCUAACACAUGCAAGUCGAACGGUAACAGGAGGCAGCUUGCUGCUUUGCUGACGAGUGGCGGACGUGUGAGUAAUGUCUGGGACACUGCCUGAUGGAGGGGGAUAACUACUGGAAACGGUAGCUAAUCCCGCAUAACGUCGCAAGACCAAAGAGGGGGACCUUCGGGCCUCUUGCCAUCGGAUGUGCCCAGAUGGGAUUAGCUAGUAGGUGGGGUAACGGCUUACCUAGGCGACGAUCCCUAGCUGGUCUGAGAGGAUGACCAGCCACACUGGAACUGAGACACGGUCCAGACUCCUACGGGAGGCAGCAGUGGGGAAUAUUGCACAAUGGGCGCAAGCCUGAUGCAGCCAUGCCGCGUGUAUGAAGAAGGUCUUCGGGUUGUAAAGUACUGUCAGCGGGGAGGAAGGGAGUAAAGUGAAAACCUUUGCGCAUUGACGUUACCCGCAGAAGAAGCACCGGCUAACUCCGUG